rnacentral:rRNA from 1 species
GACGAACGCUGGCGGCGUGCUUAACACAUGCAAGUCGAACGAAGUGGCGAACGGGUGAGUAACGCGUAAUCAACCUGCCCUUCAGAGGGGGACAACAGUUGGAAACGACUGCUAAUACCGCAUACUGAAGGUGGUGAUUGCGUUGGAUCAGCUAGUUGGAGGGGUAACGGCCCACCAAGGCGAUGAUCAGUAGCCGGUUGUGUGGGAUGAACGGCCAAAGUGGGACAGAGACAAUGCCCAGAAUCCUACGGGGGGCAGCAAGUGGGAAUCUGCCGCAAUGGACGAAAGUAUGACGGAGCAACGCCGCGUGAGUGAUGACUGCCUUCGGGUUGUCAAGCUCUGUUAAUCGGGACGCGGUACCGGAAUAGAAAGCCACGGCUAACUACGUGCCAGCCGCCGCGGUAAUAC